UCAACUAGGUGUUGGGGGCGGUUAAUCGUCUCAUUGCCGGAGCUAACGCAUUAAGUUGACCGCCUGGGGAGUACGGCCGCAAGAUUAAAACUCAAAGGAAUUGACGGGGGCCCGCACAAGCGGUGGAGUAUGUGGUUUAAUUCGAUGCAACGCGCAGAACCUUACCUGGUCUUGACAUCCCGAGAAUCUCUUAGAAAUAAGAGAGUGCCUCAUUAGGGGAGCUUGGUGACAGGUGCUGCAUGGCAGUCGUCAGCUCGUGUCGUGAGAUGUUGGGUUAAGUCCCGCAACGUGCGCCACCCUUGCCUUUAGUUGCCAUCAUUAAGUUGGGCACUCUAGAGGGACUGCCGGUGUCAAACCGGAGGAAGGUGGGGAUGACGUCAAGUCCUCAUGGCCUUUAUGACCAGGGCUACACACGUACUACAAUGGCAUGUACAAAGGGCAGCCACAGGGCGACCUGGAGCGAAUCCUUAAAACAUGUCUCAGUCCGGAUUGGAGUCUGCAACUCGACUCCAUGAAGUUGGAAUCGCUAGUAA
rnacentral:rRNA from 1 species